rnacentral:rRNA from 1 species
UGGGGAAUUUUGGACAAUGGGGCGAACCCUCGAUCCAGCAAUGCCGCGUGAGUGAAGAAGGCCUUCGGGUUGUAAAGCUCUUUUGUCAGGGAAGAAACGGUGGUGGCGAAUAACUACUACUAAUGACGGUACCUGAAGAAUAAGCACCGGCUAACUACGUGCCAGCAGCCGCGGUAAUACGUAGGGUGCAAGCGUUAAUCGGAAUUACUGGGCGUAAAGCGUGCGCAGGCGGUUGUGUAAGUCAGAUGUGAAAUCCCGGCU